rnacentral:lncRNA from 1 species
CCGUGGACACCAUUGUGAAUCCCGUCGCGAUUGCCGCCGACGAGGUCCCAAGAGGUCGAGGUAAGUCCUUCUCUUUUUUUCCCUCUUCCUUCUCUUUCCUUCCAUGCCCUUGUGCGUGCUGGCCGGCAACGAGCGUCGUCGAUUUUUGGUCGGAAAAAAGACUCUGUUUUGGGCCCCUUUUUCAUGAAUUUUCGGCGCCGGCGAUCAAAAUUGACCGUCGACCAUGUUUCCUCUGUGAUCGGGGGAGUGGCCCUGUCGGCCGCCGGCCUCCGCCGUGGCGGCCGUGGCCCGAACGGCCGAUCAAGGUCGGAGGAUCAAGAGUCCUCUGUUCCGGCGC